rnacentral:lncRNA from 1 species
UAAUGUGUCACGUAUACAGCCUUUCCAAUAAAAAAGGCACGUGUACAUCCCUUGGGGACAAACUUAUAUCAAUCGGAUUCACAUGUCCGGAUGUGCCUGAUUAGAAGGACAACCUACAAGUAUAGACAAGGAACUCGGAAAUAAACAAAAGUGCAGAAACGUGUUGACAUAGGACACGUAUAAAUUCUUUUUUUAACAACACACGUACAAAUUCUUGAUCCGGUCCAUCCUAUCUGGAGGGACUCAAUCAAUAGAACUCCACGUCUCCACAUGGACUCUAGAUAAAAAGAAACUCUAGAUGGAGUCAGCCAAGGCAACAAAAUAGAAAGACACUCGGCCGACCACAUCCAACAGAUGCCCAAGAGUCGGAGUCAACCAAAUCUGGACAUAUCAAAGUCUACAAAUCUGCUACCCGACCAAAGCACCACCAACAAAAUCGAGGUCUUCCGAAAUCUACUUCCCAGGAAGAGAACCACCAACAAAAUUGAAGACUGCACAACAAAUCUACUACCCGGGCAGCGUAACACCAAUAAAAUCGAAGACUGCAGAACAAAUCUGCUACCCGACCAGAGCACCACCAACAAAUUUGAGUUCUGCGAUGCCAGACAAACAGCCGAAACUGCAAUGUGACCGCAACAGGACGACCGACGAAGUCAGGACAGAUCUUCAGAGCUGCCUCUCACUGAAUCAUCAAGGUCUGUAAAUAUUUUAAUUAAUUCACUUAUCAGGACAAAAGAUGCAUUGGUAACUGACUAACAAUUUUUGACUCCUUUUGCAGCCAAAAAACUAUGGUGUGCAAGAAGCAUAAUGCUUACCAACAACA